GACGAACGCUGGCGGCGUGCUUAACACAUGCAAGUCGAACGGAAAGGCCCUGCUUGCAGGGUACUCGAGUGGCGAACGGGUGAGUAACACGUGGGUGAUCUGCCCUGCACUUCGGGAUAAGCCUGGGAAACUGGGUCUAAUACCGGAUAGGAGCCAUUUUUAGUGUGAUGGUUGUAAAGUUUUUUCGGUGUAGGAUGAGCUCGCGGCCUAUCAGCUUGUUGGUGGGGUAAUGGCCUACCAAGGCGGCGACGGGUAGCCGGCCUGAGAGGGUGGACGGCCACAUUGGGACUGAGAUACGGCCCAGACUCCUACGGGAGGCAGCAGUGGGGAAUAUUGCACAAUGGGCGCAAGCCUGAUGCAGCGACGCCGCGUGGGGGAUGACGGCCUUCGGGUUGUAAACUCCUUUCGCUAGGGACGAAGCUUUUUGUGACGGUACCUAGAUAAGAAGCACCGGCUAACUACGUG
rnacentral:rRNA from 1 species